UUAAAGUGGAAACAGCUGUCAUAUAAAUAUCAAUCAUUUUUGAAACCUAACACUGUUUAAUUCUCUAAGUAUACGUGAAAGAUUUCAAAAUGUGCAUCUUGGUGUUAGUAUUCCUGUUGAUAGUAGCGCAGAUCCAGGCUGGUCAAGAUGUCUCACUAUGCCUAUCAAAACACGAGAUAAUAAACGAAUGCCCUGGUUUGGCGGAAAAAUAUCUAAAAUUUGGUGGACCAGAUACCAGCAUGCAAUUCGACCAGAUUGAUGGAGGUUACUAUGCAAGCAAAGGAAUAAUAGAUGCAGACAAUAUUUUCAACCAACACCAAGAUUCGCUAUGGAAUGUACCUUCACCAGUGCAUAACUUAGGACUAACUCUAUUAUCUGUGUAACUUCUCUAAUAUUUAAAAAUUAAUUAAAUAUUAGCGAAUUAAAUGUAGCUAAAACGUCAUUUACAGUUUGUCUUUGGUAAAUAUUGAUAAAGAAUCUGUAAAAGAGUAGUUUAAACACUAGUGUAUGGUUAUUAUUAAAGAGACUAUAUAAA